rnacentral:rRNA from 1 species
AUUGAACGCUGGCGGCAGGCCUAACACAUGCAAGUCGAGCGAGCGGCGGACGGGUGAGUAAUGUCUGGGAAACUGCCUGAUGGAGGGGGAUAACUACUGGAAACGGUAGCUAAUACCGCAUACCAUCAGAUGUGCCCAGAUGGGAUUAGCUAGUAGGUUGGGUAACGGCUCACCUAGGCGACGAUCCCUAGCUGGUCUGAGAGGAUGACCAGCCAGACUGGAACUGUGACACGGUCCAGCAUCCGACGCGAGGCAGCCGUGGGGAAUAUUGCACAAUGGGCGCAAGCCUGAUGCAGAGAUGCCGCGUGUGUGAAGAAGGCAUUCGGGUUGUCAAGCACUUUCAUCGGGAAGGCGUUAAUCGAUGAAGAAGCACCGGCUAAGUCCGUGCCAGCGGGCGCGAUAAUAC